UAGGGAAUCUUCGGCAAUGGGGCGAAAGCCUGACCGAGCAACGCCGCGUGAAUGAUGAAGGCCUUCGGGUUGUAAAAUUCUGUUAUAAGGGAAGAAUGGCUCUAGUAGGAAAUGGCUAGAGUGUCGACGGUACCUUAUGAGAAAGCCACGGCUAACUACGUGCCAGCAGCCGCGGUAAUACGUAGGUGGCGAGCGUUAUCCGGAAUUAUUGGGCGUAAAGAGCGCGCAGGUGGUUGAUUAAGUCUGAUGUGAAAGCCCACGGCUUAACCGUGGAGGGUCAUUGGAAACUGGUCAACUUGAGUGCAGAAGAGGGCAGUGGAACUCCAUGUGUAGCGGUGGAAUGUGUAGAUAUAUGGAAGAACACCAGUGGCGAAGGCGGCUGCCUGGUCUGCAACUGACGCUGAGGCUCGAAAGCAUGGGUAG
rnacentral:rRNA from 1 species